rnacentral:rRNA from 1 species
UACGAAGGGGGCUAGCGUUGCUCGGAAUCACUGGGCGUAAAGAGCGCGCAGGCGGUCGUUCAAGUCGAGUGUGAAAGCCCCCGGCUCAACUGGGGAGGGUCAUUCGAUACUGAUCGACUUGAAGGCAGGAGAGGGAAGUGGAAUUCCCGGUGUAGUGGUGAAAUGCGUAGAUAUCGGGAGGAACACCAGUGGCGAAGGCGACUUCCUGGCCUGUUCUUGACGCUGAGGCGCGAAAGCUAGGGGAGCAAACGGG